rnacentral:rRNA from 1 species
AUUGAACGCUGGCGGCAUGCUUUACACAUGCAAGUCGAACGGUAACAGGUCUUCGGAUGCUGACGAGUGGCGAACGGGUGAGUAAUGCAUCGGAACGUGCCCAGUCGUGGGGGAUAACGCAGCGAAAGCUGUGCUAAUACCGCAUACGAUCUAUGGAUGAAAGCGGGGGAUCGCAAGACCUCGCGCGAUUGGAGCGGCCGAUGUCAGAUUAGCUAGUUGGUGGGGUAAAGGCCACCAAGGCGACGAUCUGUAGCUGGUCUGAGAGGACGACCAGCCACACUGGGACUGAGACACGGCCCAGACUCCUACGGGAGGCAGCAGUGGGGAAUAUUGCACAAUGGGCGCAAGCCUGAUGCAGCAACGCCGCGUGAGGGACGAC